rnacentral:rRNA from 1 species
GGAAUAUUGGACAAUGGGCGAAAGCCUGAUCCAGCCAUGCCGCGUGUGUGAAGAAGGUCUUCGGAUUGUAAAGCACUUUAAGUUGGGAGGAAGGGUUGUAGGUUAAUACCUUGCAGCCUUGACGUUACCGACAGAAUAAGCACCGGCUAACUUCGUUCCAGCAGCCGCGGUAAUACGAAGGGUGCAAGCGUUAAUCGGAAUUACUGGGCGUAAAGCGCGCGUAGGUGGUUUGGGAAGGUGGAUGUGAAAGCCCCGGGCUCAACCUGGGAACUGCAUCCAAAACUGCCUGACUAGAGUACGGUAGAGGGUGGUGGAAUUUCCUGUGUAGCGGUGAAAUGCGUAGAUAUAGGAAGGAACACCAGUGGCGAAGGCGACCACCUGGACUGAUACUGACACUGAGGUGCGAAAGCGUGGGGAGCAA